CACCGGCGGCUCGAGUGGUGGCCCCUUUUAUUGGGUCUAAAGCGUCCGUAGCCGGCUUGGCAAGUCCCCUGGGAAAUCUGGCGGCUUAACCGUCAGGCGUCCAGAGGAUACUGCCAGGCUUGGGACCGGGAGAGGACAAGGGUACUCCAGGGGUAGCGGUGAAAUGUGUUGAUCCUUGGAGGACCACCUAUGGCGAAGGCACUUGUCUGGAACGGGUCCGACGGUGAGGGACGAAAGCCAGGGGCGCGAACCGG
rnacentral:rRNA from 1 species